rnacentral:rRNA from 1 species
AUCUAUGGCCAUGCUACCCUGAACAAGCCCGAUCCCAUGCUACCCUGAACAAGCCCUGAUCUCGGAAGAUAAGCAAGGUCGGACCAGGUCAGUAUUUGGAUGGGAAACCACCUAGGAAGACCAGGUGCUGAAGGCA